rnacentral:rRNA from 1 species
UACAGAGGUCUCAAGCGUUGUUCGGAUUCAUUGGGCGUAAAGGGCGCGUAGGCGGCCUGUUAAGUCGAACGUGAAAUCCCCGGGCUCAACCCGGGAACUGCGUCCGAUACUGGCAGGCUUGAAUCCGGGAGAGGGAUGCGGAAUUCCUGGUGUAGCGGUGAAAUGCGUAGAGAUCGGGAAGGAACACCAGUGGCGGAAGGCGGCUACCUGGACCAGCACUGACACUGAGGCACGAAAGCGUGGGGA